rnacentral:rRNA from 1 species
UGCAAGUCGAGCGGUAACAGAUCUAGCUUGCUAGAUGCUGACGAGCGGCGGACGGUGAUAAUGACAUAGGAAUCUACCCGGUAGUGGGGGAUAACCUGGGGAAACCCAGGCUAAUACCGCAUACGUCCUACGGGAGAAAGGGGGCUCCGGCUCCCGCUAUCGGAUGAGCCUAUGUCGGAUUAGCUAGUUGGUGAGGUAAUGGCUCACCAAGGCAACGAUCCGUAGCUGGUCUGAGAGGAUGAUCAGCCACAUCGGGACUGAGACACGGCCCGAACUCCUACGGGAGGCAGCAGUGGGGAAUAUUGGACAAUGGGGGGAACCCUGAUCCAGCCAUGCCGCGUGUGUGAAGAAGGCCCUCGGGUUGUAAAGCACUUUCAGCGAGGAAGAACGCCUAGUGGUUAAUACCCAUUAGGAAAGACAUCACUCGUAUAAGAAGCACCGGCUAACUCCGUGCCAGCAGCCGCGGUAAUACGGAGGGUGCAAGCGUUAAUCGGAAUUACUGGGCGUAAAGCGCGCGUAGGUGGCUUGAUAAGCCGGUUGUGAAAGCCCCGGGCUCAACCUGGGAACGGCAUCCGGAACUGUCAAGCUAGAGUGCAGGAGAGGAAGGUAGAAUUCCCGGUGUAGCGGUGAAAUGCGUAGAGAUCGGGAGGAAUACCAGUGGGCGAAGGCGGCCUUCUGGACUGACACUGACACUGAGGUGCGAAAGCGUGGGGUAGCAAAACAGGAUUUAGAUACCCUGGUAGUCCACGCCG